AGAGUUUGAUCCUGGCUCAGGAUGAACGCUGGCGGUAUGCAUUACACAUGCAAGUCGUACGAAAACUUCGGUUUUAGUGGCAAACGGGUGAGGAAUACAUGAGAAUCUACCUUUAAGAGGAGGAUAACAAUUGGAAACACUUGCUAAAACUCCAUACGCCUCUGGGUGAAAAAGUGUAAAACUGCUUAAAGAUGAGCUCAUGUCUGAUUAGCUAGUUGGUGAGGUAAUGGCUCACCAAGGCGACGAUCAGUAGCUGGUCUGAGAGGAUGAUCAGCCACACUGGAACUGAGACACGGUCCAGACUCCUACGGGAGGCAGCAGUGGGGAAUUUUCUGCAAUGGGCGAAAGCCUGACAGAGCAAUACCGCGUGAGGGAAGAAAGCCUACGGGUUGUAAACCUCUUUUCUCAAGGAAGAAGAUCUGACGGUACUUGAGGAAUAAGCAUCGGCUAACUCUGUGCCAGCAGCCGCGGUAAUACAGAGGAUGCAAGCGUUAUCCGGAAUUACUGGGCGUAAAGCGUCUGCAGGUGGACUUUUAAGUCCUUUGUUAAAGCCUAAGGCCUAACCUUAGUUCAGCAAAGGAAACUGGAAGUCUUGAGGGUGGUAGAGGUAGAAGGGAAUUUCCAGUGGAGCGGUGAAAUGCGUAGAUAUUGGAAAGAACACCAAUUGCGAAGGCACUCGACUGGGCCAUUUCUGACACUCAGAGACGAAAGCUAGGGGAGCAAAUGGGAUUAGAUACCCCAGUAGUCCUAGCUGUAAACGAUGGAUACUAGAUGUUGUUAACAGCAGUGUCGUAGCUAACGCGUUAAGUAUCCCGCCUGGGAA
rnacentral:rRNA from 1 species